AAAACCUCUUCAUUGGCCAUAACCGAGGAGGCAGAGAGAGCUGCUAAAGAGGUCCUCUAUCCUCCUUCACCAUUUGUAACCGGGGAAGAACAGGAGAUCUUCAAAAGCCCUGGGUACCUGAGUCUGCGGGGAAAUAUUGAGAAAUGGCCAGGAUGACUCGGGCCCAGUAUCCCCUCCUGGACCUUUCUUUGAGGUCUGGAACAAACUUCUGGAGGUAACUUUGUGAAGAGAAGAGGCGUUGAUGGACCUGUACGUCGGGAUAAGGUGGAGGUCAGCCACCUAAGGGCAAAACUUCUGCCCAGUGGAGGAGGCAAAUUUGACUCCUCCAACUAUAUGACUGUCAAGAUCGCAGAGCGCCAGAUCCUUGAAGCAGUGCUGACAAUUACCGAAGUGUCCGAGGAUGAUAAUAAUAUGCUCAUCCUGUUGGGCAGUGAACUAAGACUACGCUUUACCGAGCCUUGGUACAGCAGCAGCCAAUUACAUUAAAAGUCCAGCAUAUUCAUCAUCAUGUGCUGAAACUUGAGGCUGCAAAAUCCCUGGAUACAGCUGAGGAUGCAGAAUCCCUGGACCUUAUCGAGGCAUCAGAAGCUGCAGAAUCCCUAGAUGUUGAAAACACUUGAGGCUUAAAAUGUGUUUGUGUCAUGAUCAUUGACUUUUAUUUUGAUUUUGAUUAGGUUUUGUUUUCUUAAGUUC
rnacentral:lncRNA from 1 species